rnacentral:rRNA from 1 species
UAUUGGACAAUGGGCGAAAGCCUGAUCCAGCAAUGCCGCGUGAGUGAUGAAGGCCCUAGGGUUGUAAAGCUCUUUUACCAGGGAUGAUAAUGACAGUACCUGGAGAAUAAGCUCCGGCGAACCCCGUGCCAGCAGCCGCGGUAAUACGGAGGGAGCUAGCGUUGUUCGGAUAUACUGGGCGUAAAGCGCACGUAGGCGGCGCCGCAAGUCAGGGGUGAAAUCCCGGAGCUCAACUCCGGAACUGCCCUUGAAACUGCAGUGCUAGAAUACUGGAGAGGCGAGUGGAAUUCCGAGUGUAGAGGUGAAAUUCGUAGAUAUUCGGAAGAACACCAGUGGCGAAGGCGACUCGCUGGACAGGUAUUGACGCUGAGGUGCGAAAGCGUGGGGAGCAAACAGG